rnacentral:lncRNA from 1 species
AAGCAGUCCUGUUGAGAGUGAAAUGAUAUGUUUUGAAGGCUUAAUGACCCUUUCAUGUAAAGGUAAUUUAGUAAAGAAAGCAAUCUGAAACAAUUCUACUCAAAACUGUACAAGUCCAUCAAUUUGAAAUUCAGCAUGAGUGUAAAAGAAAAGAUAUAACACUACCAAAACUGGAUGUGAUGUCCCACUCCUAUAAUCCCAGUUACCUGGGAAGCUGAGGCAAAAGGAUUGCCAAGUUCAAGGCCAGUCUGCACAACUAGGUGAGACCUCUCAAAGUCAAAGAUUUUUCUGUGAUAAAGCACCUCUGGGUUCAAUCCUCAAUCCAGUAGGGCAAGAAAGACUACUGAAAACUUACGUUUACUGCACAAACAAGAAUGAAGGACCAUGGGACAGGCUUGAAUUUGUUUUUAUUUUCCCAUUAAAUAUAUUUUGCAGUUGUUAAUUAUAUAAUCCAAGGGAAUAUCUGUGUUUGGUUCUGUUCAUCAUGUUGUGUAAUCCAUGUCUCACUGAAGUUAGACCAGUUUGUCCACUUUAUGCUGCCACCCUUAUGGGUUUCACAACUCAGGACUGAUAUGUUGUGUAACACCUUUAACACUAAAUGAGAUAUUAUGAAAAAAGAUAUCAAAGGUAGAGAUGGGCAUUAUUUUAGGUGCCUAGAUUCAAAGGUAACAUUUGGGAUUUCUGAACUAUGUCCCUUUGCCUUAUCUUCACAAUGGGUGUGGGGGAAAAAAAAGAAGGCAAGAUCUUCCCCUAUGAUCAGGGCAGGAUGAGGGGCCGUGAAAGAACUUGCUGUACUAGUGGGUUCCUAGGUCUUUCUGUCACUGCCCCUGCCUCCCAGGUGCUGCUUUCACUGGCUCUACUUCCUGACCCAGUGGGAAAUUUGGGUUUGUGCUUCUUCUAUAGCACGUGUUGGUACAGCCACGACAAAACAGCUGUCUAGAGCUUUAAAUCACACAAAUCCCCAGGUGCUGGGUUGGAUUGCAGCUGCUCACAGUGAGAUCUGAACUCUCCCUGGUCCUUUUAAUAAGUUGGUUAUUCUGCCUACAAAUGAAAGGUGCUGGCUCCAUUCUGGGCAGGGUUUUAAAGGGAUGAAUACACGCAAGAGACUGAGGAAGUGGGAGAGGCAGAGCUGGUCAUGCUGACUGGAGCUAGGUUUGGUCAGAGCUUGUCCCAGGGUGUGUGAGAUCCCCCAAAGUCUACUAUACUUCCUGUGGGAAACUCCUGGUAGCCCUGGAUAGAUAUUUGUAGGCAGGGACUCAGCUGUAGUCGCAACAGUUGCUGCCAGGUACUGAGCAAUGACCCCUCCUAAAUUUUUGAAAUCCCUUGAGGAUAAUAGAAUACAAAAUAUCGAGGGCCCUCUAUAGAAGUUCAGUCCUCAUUGUAUUACUGUACGCGUAAUUUAAAAAUGGUCAUAAAGCUGAGGGUCAUAUAAUCUAGUGCUUAUCAACAGUUUGGAAGAACACUCUUUUCAAGUCCUGGGACAUUAAAGAAGAGUAGAUUCCUGGGAGUAAGUGUGGGAAUUUGUUACCAAAAAAAAAAAAAAAAAGUCCUACUCAAUGCUCAAUGUAGGAAUACUAAAACCUGUCAGAUCAGUGAUUGUUGCUCUUUGCUUAAAGCUUGGCAGUGAAAAGUUCUUGUCUGAUCCCCUCCAGGCAGAUUCCUCACAUCCUGCUCCUCAUGAUAAUGCUGUAAACACACUUCUGUUAGAGACACCUCCUACCUACACCUCUGAGCUCCCAGAGAGCAGGGAGAGGUAUAUCUUCAUGUCUUGGUCUCCCAGAGGCCAGCCAGGUGCCUGGCCCAGAGCAGGGGCUUGACAGAAUGUUGGUUGUUUAAAGUUCUACUCUAGAAUGUUGUCCCACAAGCUGACAGGGUACUUUGUUUUUUAAUCUCUUUAUCUGCAGUUUCAAGUUCAAUGCCCGACAUAUACAUGAUGCUCCAUGAUAUUAGGAAAGUGAGCUCAUAAUCACUCCAGCGCAUGGAGAUUCCUCAGAAAACUGGGAAUGGAACCCAUUUGACCCAGCUGUCCCACUCCUUGGUUUAUACCCAAAGGACUUAAAAUCAGCAUACUGUAGUGAUGCAGCCACAUCAAUGUUUAUAGCAGCUCAAUUUACAAUAGUUAGACUAUGGAACCAACCUGAAUGGAUAAAGAAAAUGUGGUAUAUAUACUCAAUGGAAUAUUACUUAGCUUUAAAGAAGAGUGAAAUUAUGGCAUUUGCCAGUAAGUGGUUGGAGUUGGAGAAUAUCAUGCUAAGUGAAAUAAGCCAAUCCCACAAAACCAAAGGCCGAAUAUUUUCUCUAAUAUGCGGAUGCUAAUUCACAAUAAGGCUGGAUGCACUAUGGAAGAAUAGCAUUUCCUUAGAUUAGGUAGAGGAAAGUGACUAGGGG